UGUAGAUCCAAAAGGUCAGUCAUUUCCAUCAAACCCUCGUAAAACUCCGAUCACUUUCUGCAAUCGCCGUCGAUCUCCGUUGCGUAAUCACACCGAACAAUGUUUCGACACGGUUCUCGAUUCCUAGCCAGAGCCACCACGAUGACGUGGCGCCGUCCAUUUGCAACCGACCUGCAGGCGGAGUACGUUGCAGAUUCCAGCUUUGCGGAAGCUUGGAAGAAAGUUGUUCCUAAUGUGGACCCACCGAAAACUCCAUCUGCGUUUAUGUCUCCUAGACCGGCUACUCCAUCGUCGAUUCCGUCUAAGCUCACUGUCAACUUUGUCCUUCCUUACACUUCUGAACUCUCUGGUAAAGAGGUUGACAUGGUUAUAAUCCCUGCAACAACAGGACAGAUGGGUGUUUUACCUGGGCAUGUAGCGACAAUUGCUGAGCUGAAGCCUGGUAUUUUAUCAGUUCACGAGGGCAAUGAUGUGAACAAGUACUUUGUGAGUGGUGGAUUUGCAUUUGUUCAUGCAAAUUCUUUUGCAGAUAUA
rnacentral:misc_RNA from 1 species